rnacentral:rRNA from 1 species
UUCGAGUGGCGGACGGGUGAGUAACGCGUGGGUAACCUGCCUUACACAGGGGGAUAACACCUGGAAACAGGUGCUAAUACCGCAUAAGCGCACAGGGCCGCAUGGCCCGGUGUGAAAAACUCCGGUGGUGUAAGAUGGACCCGCGUCUGAUUAGCUUGUUGGCGGGGUAGGGGCCCACCAAGGCGACGAUCAGUAGCCGGCCUGAGAGGGUGGACGGCCACAUUGGGACUGAGACACGGACCAGACUCCUACGGAAGGCAGCAG